rnacentral:rRNA from 1 species
CCAAUAGCGUAUAUUAAAGUUGUUGCAGUUAAAAAGCUCGUAGUUGAAUUUCGGGAUUAGUACGCUGGUCGUGCCUUCGGUACGUACUGGUGUUACUGAUUCCUACCUUCUGACGAACCAUCAUGUCAUUAAUUUGGUGUGGCGGGGAAUCAGGACUGUUACUUUGAAAAAAUUAGAGUGUUUAAAGCAGGCGCGCGCUGGAAUACAUUAGCAGGGAAUAAUGAAAUAGGACGUUGAUCCUAUUUUGUUGGCUUCUAGGAUUGACGUAAUGAUUAAUAGGGAUAGUUGGGGGCAUUAGUAUUCAAUUGUCAGAGGUGAAAUUCUUGGAUUUAUUGAAGACUAACUACUGCGAAAGCAUUUGCCAAGGAUGUUUUCAUUAAUCAAGAACGAAAGUUAGGGGAUCGAAGACGAUCAGAUACCGUCGUAGUCUUAACCAUAAACUAUGCCGACUAGGGAUCAGAUGAUGUUAUUUUUAAUGACUCAUUCGGCGCCUUACG